AUUUAAGUAGGGAGAACUCAAAAUUCAGGUCCCUUGCAGUUAUUGACAUGGUGGCAAAUAAGCAUAUGAAUACUUGUUCAACAUUGUUCAGUCAUUAGAGAAAUGCAAAUUAAAACCACCAUGAAAUAUCACUCAAAUCUAUUAGAAUGGCUAAAAUAGAAAAUACUGACACAGCCUGGGCAACAUGGCAAAACCCUGUUUCUACCAAAAAAAAUACAAAAAAAAUUAGGGAGCAAUGGUGGUGCAUGGUUGUGGUCGCGGCUACUCAGUAGUCUGAGGUGGGAGCAUCACUUGAGCCUGGGAGGUGGAAGUUGCAGCAAGCCAAGAUCACACCACUGCCCUCCAGCCUGGGAGACAGAGUGAGACCCCACCUCAGAAAAAAAAUAAAUACUGACAAUACCAAGCGGUAGCAGGGAUGCAGAGCAACUAAAACCCUCAUACCUUCCUAGUGGAAUGCAAAAUAGUACAGACACUAGAGAAAACACUUUUAUGGUUUCAUAAAAAUGUAUACAUACAAUGACCAUCCAACCAUGCAAUCCCUCUCCUGGGUAUUUCCUCUAAAGAAAUAAAAACUGCUAUUUACUCAAAAUUCGGUACUUAAACAGUUAUAGUAGCAAUAUUUGUGAUGACAAAAAAAUGACAACUAAAAUAUCCUUCAAUGGGUGAAUGAAUAAACAAACUAUGGUGCCUCCAUACAACAGAAUGCUACUCAGGAAAACAACAACAACAACAGGUAUUAGUACACCCAACAACUUCGAUGAAUCUCAGAGGCUUUAUGCUGAUAGAAGCCAGAA
rnacentral:lncRNA from 10 species